ensembl:lncRNA
CCAGCCAGCCAGACAGAGACAGCCAGCCAGCCAGACAGAGACAGCCAGCCAGCCAGACAGACAGACAGCCAGACAGACAGCCAGACAGCCAGCCAGACAGAGACAGCCAGCCAGACAGACAGCCAGACAGACAGACAGACAGAGUGACUUAACAGUCUCCUCUCUUCAGCUGUUGGUGCUACUCACGACCAAACAAUGAAACACACCAUGACAGCUACUAAAGUUCUGAAAGAUGCUCUGCCUCUGAUUACUGAUCACAGCCCGACUGGAGAUGAUCAAUCACACACACGCGCACGGUUUUUGAGUCAGAUAUAGCAGUGAUGGAAGAAGGAGAAUGUGUUAAUGGGAGAAGAGGAUGCGUUAGAGGAGAAGAUGAGAGCAACAGAGAUGAAGACAAGACGACAGCCUGUGACAUGGCCUGUCGACUGGAGGUCAAACGGAGGUGUGUGUGUGUCUGUUUAUGUGUGUGUGUGUGUGUAUAUCCGUACGUCUGUGUGUGUGUGUAUAUCCGUACGUCUGUGUGUGUGUGUGUAUAUCCGUACGUCUGUGCGUGUGUGUAUAUCCGUACGUCUGUGUGUGUGUGUGUAUCCCAACGUCUGUGUGUGUGUGUGUGUGUAUAUCCGUACGUCUGUGUGUGUGUGUGUAUAUCCGUACUUCUGUGUGUGUGUGUGUAUAUCCGUACGUCUGUGUGUGUGUGUAUAUCCGUAUGUCUGUGUGUGUGUGCAUAUCCGUAUGUCUGUGUGUGUGUGCAUAUCCCAACGUCUGUGUGUGUGUGUAUCCAUACGUCUGUGUGUGUGUGUGCAUAUCCCAACGUCUGUGUGUGUGUGUAUCCAUACGUCUGUGUGUGUGUGUGUAUAUCCGUACGUCUGUGUGUGUGUGUAUAUCCGUACUUCUGUGUGUGUGUGUGUGUAUAUCCGUACGUCUGUGUGUGUGUGUAUAUCCGUACUUCUGUGUGUGUGUGUGUGUAUAUCCCAACGUCUGUGUGUGUGUGUAUAUCCGUACGUCUGUGUGUGUGUGUGUGUAUAUCCGUACGUCUGUGUGUGUGUGUGUAUAUCCGUACUUCUGUGUGUGUGUGUGUGUAUAUCCGUCUGUCUGUGUGUGUGUCUGUGUGUGUGUGCAUAUCCCAACGUCUGUGAGUGUGUGUGUGUAUCCGUACGUCUGUGUGUGUGUGUAUAUCCCAACGUCUGUGUGUGUGUGUGUAUAUCCGUACGUCUGUGUGUGUGUGUAUAUCCGUACUUCUGUGUGUGUGUGUGUAUAUCCGUACGUCUGUGUGUGUGUGUAUAUCCCAACGUCUGUGUGUGUGUGUAUAUCCGUACGUCUGUGUGUGUGUGUGUGUAUAUCCGUACAUCUGUGUGUGUGUAUAUACGUACGUCUGUGUGUGUGUGUGUGUGUGUAUGUGUGUAUAUCCGUGUGUCUGUGUGUGUGUGUAUGUGUGUGUGUGUGUGUGUGUGUGUGUGUGUGUGUGUGUGUGUGUGUGUGUGUGUGUGUGUGUGUGUGUGUGUGUGUGUGUGUGUGUGUGUGUGU